rnacentral:misc_RNA from 1 species
UGGGGGGGGGGGGGGGGGGGGGGAUGGCGGCGCGGCGGGGGAGAAUUGUGUAGUUUGAGUUUGUGUUAUGAUUUGUUUCGGAUAAAACUGUUGGAUGAGGUGACCGGUAAAGUGAAGACAUUUUGAACUUGUUUUAUGCGAUUGAGAAAAUUUGAGAUUUUGUUUUCUAUUUGUUUAUUCUCUAUUAGCAAAGCAUCCAAAUGAGUAAUUAGGGUUUAUAAUGGUUAACUCAUAAUUGGAUCGUUGAGUUUGUGAUUCGUAAACUAUUGUUAAUUUCAAAUUUCCAUUUUAUUAAUAAUUAUUUUUAUUUUGAGUUUUGAAAUGGGGCUUCAGUUUUGCUGCAAAAGUACAAAAUGAUUUGAAUGUUAUUCUAGAUACGGACAAAUAAAGUAACUCAAUUUGAUCACUUCAAAUUGCAUCAAGCUCCUGUAAGUUGAGUUGAUUGCUAUUCCAGGCGUCUGUGAAGCUUUACGUUCAAACUUCUAAAUUUGGUGUUCCAUUACUCUCUCUCUCUCUCUCUCU